AUGGGAGCAGAGGCAGCAGGCAGGGAGAGCCUCAGCAUCCCCACCUUGAACAGCCCCAGGUCUCAUUGUCUUGGGUCUGAGUCUUGCUGUGGACUCAGCAAGGGGACAGAGGAAGGGUGUGGGAUGCAGCUGGGGACACAGCUGUCCCCAGAGCCCUCCACGAGCCCUGGGGGUAGAGCCCCCCUGUUGCCAGCACAGCCAUCACCCAGCAGUGCUUUCCUAGGCCCUCACAAACCCUCCCACAGUCCCAGUGCUCCCACAGGAACGAAAAAGGAGAGAGUCUGUGUUUCACUCCCAAUUGUCCCUAUUUAUAGCCCCAAGUGCUGGCACGAUGGCUGUGACCUUGCCACCCAGUUCAGCAGAAGCUCUGCUCCCUCUCACACCGUGCUGCCUUCAGGUCCACUUAACCCCACACUUUUUCCCCUUUUGCUUCCCUUGGCCCAACCAUCUUCCACUCCCAGCACCCUUUUUCCCACUGCCCACCCACAUCCCACUGCUCAUCCCACGGCACCCAGCACUGCCAGGGCUGCGGCACCAACAACAGGAACCGGGGUGGAGGCUGUGGGAACAGGAAAAAAAGAAACAGAAGAGAGAGAGAGAGAGAAAAAUCAGCCGCCAACCUCCGUUUUCUUGAUUAAAUUCACCCUCGGCACUGCUGUGGGCGGAGGAGGCUCCAGCCACCAACACCGCUUGUGGUCUCUGCUGGCGGCUGCCCCUCACAGGCACGGUCCCACCGCAGGUGAAAGAGGGCAGCAAGGGGAGAAAGAGAGAGGGAUGCUGGCACCCACCCCCGCUCCCUGGGGCAGUGCCAUGUGCCUGUUAUCAGCUCAUGCCAGCGCCCGGCUUCCCUCGCCUUCCCCGGGACUCGAGCUGUUAUCUCCUCUCCUCCCGAGCCCGCUCGCCCGGCACCCCAAACCCGACGCGGUUGUGCUGCUGCUGUCCCCAGAGCCACUCCAUCCCGGGGGGAACCUUCCCAUCACCCGAAAGUCACCACCGGAAGGUUUUCCAGGACUCCCUUUGGUGCUACAAGGCAGGGAGGGAGCUGGGGCUGCAGGAUACAGCCACGCUCCCACGGCCUCUGGCACCCCCAGCUCACAGGCACCGAGUGUAUUUUUAUUUUCUGACCACCUCUUGCCACUCUCCACCCCAGGAGGGACCUUCCUUUUGUAUUUUAUGAGCCAGAACCGGGACAGCAGCUUUGCUGCUCGUCACAGAACCCUGCAGGGAUCAUUUGGGUGGGAACAAUGA
rnacentral:lncRNA from 1 species